UAGAUUGGCUGCAGUAGGUUCAUUGUAGGAGUAGGGUAUGCACUUACAUGGAAUCUAUCGACCUUGAUAGAAGAGGAGUGAUCCUAUGUGAUUUAUUAGACUGAGUUCUAAGACCUUGGCCAGGGCAGUAAUAUACAGUGGAGAAAGAGUUUUCCACUAUCGAACUCAAGUCAAAUAAAUCUAGACAUAUGACAGACGA
rnacentral:lncRNA from 1 species